AUGAACGCUGGCGGCGUGCCUAAUACAUGCCAGUCGAGCGAACAGACGAGGAGCUUGCUCCUUUGACGUUAGCGGCGGACGGGUGAGUAACACGUAGGUAACCUACCUAUAAGACUGGGAUAACUUCGGGAAACCGGAGCUAAUACCGGAUAAUAUUUCGAACCGCAUGGUUCGAUAGUGAAAGAUGGCUUUGCUAUCACUUAUAGAUGGACCUGCGCCGUAUUAGCUAGUUGGUAAGGUAACGGCUUACCAAGGCAACGAUACGUAGCCGACCUGAGAGGGUGAUCGGCCACACUGGAACUGAGACACGGUCCAGACUCCUACGGGAGGCAGCAGUAGGGAAUCUUCCGCAAUGGGCGAAAGCCUGACGGAGCAACGCCGCGUGAGUGAUGAAGGUCUUCGGAUCGUAAAGCUCUGUUAUUAGGGAAGAACAAACGUGUAAGUAACUGUGCACGUCUUGACGGUACCUAAUCAGAAAGCCACGGCUAACUACGUG
rnacentral:rRNA from 1 species